GCGGGGGAGGGGAGGAGGCCUGGCCCCGCGGUCGCAGCCGCCACCGCCCGCCCCGACCUCCCGGACCGCCGCGGGGCCACGGGCCCGAGCCCCGGAUUCGCGCUCCGGAUUCGCCUCGGCUCGGCCGCGCGUAUAUUUGCCUUCCCUCCAUGAUCUCCAACACUAUCCGAUAAAGUAGAAGCAACUGAGGUACCGUCAAAGAGAAAGGAGCUGGAACUGAGAAAAAGCAGAGCCAAUACAGUGACUCACACCUGUAAUCCCAGUGCACUUUGGGAGGCCAAGAGAGGAGGAUCGCUUGAGGCCAGGAGUUUAAGACCAGCCUGAGCAACAUAGCAAGACUAUCUCUACAAAAAAAGUUUAA